UUCAGAGAAAGAGAUUUAGAGAGAUCUUAAGCUCACCGCAGAAGCCCGCCGUAACCGGCGCUGCCACCCUCGCCACCGCAGUUCAGAUCGAGCCAAGGCGCGUCCUCCACCAACGUAUCUCCAGAUCUGGUAGCAAUGCAUCUCCAGAUCUGGUAGCAACGCCUUCUUCGCAAACGAGGAUUUUGGUGUUGUUAUCGCCGUCGCUCAGCUUGCUCUCCAUGGCCGCCAUGUGAAGUAGGCUCUGACGAGACAACACCAGUAGCAUCACGCACGUCUUCCUCCUCCGGUAGCAGCGGCGAUGACAUUGGUUUCAACACUCUCCUUUCUUCGAUUAAUGUUUGUUUCACCAGCCCUGCUUAAUUAAUUACAUUUUCGGUUACUUGGACUCCAAGAAUGGAGAUACCAAAGAUAUUUCUCAAAGUGAAAAGUCUAUUCUGGAAAAGGAUCUUGAAGCAGCUCUUGACUCAUUUGACAAUCUUUUUUGCCGACGCUGUUUUGUAAGCCUUUUAUCCCAUGGGGGGUACUGAAUAGCCUUCAUUUUCUUUUGAUCUUUAUAUCUCGCCAGCAGACCUAAUGUCAAUUUUCACCUUUUCAGGUUUUCGAUUGCCGAUUACAUGGAUGUUCCCAGGAUCUUGUCUUCCCCGUACUUAAAUCAGGAAGGUUUUUCAAUGCUACCUCUUCGGCCUAGGCUGAUGUUGAAGAGAAAUGUUCAGGUGGUUCUUUAUCUAGGAAGAAGUCUUCUGCUAAAAGGAGAAUAAAAUGCAGCCAAAGUAAAAGUGCCUUGGAAAGCUCUUGAAAAGAACUGCUAGAGAAAGUAAUGGAGAUAUUUGGGAGAAACAGGUCAGCAUAUGCUUGGGUCAAAUGUAUUACCUGUGCUUUCUCUGAUGCUUACUUUCAUGCGUUGGACCCCUAAUCUUCAUCUUCGAUUUGUCAUGCUGUUCAAAGACUU